rnacentral:rRNA from 1 species
GACGAACCGAGCGAACGUUAUUCGGAAUCACUGGGCUUAAAGGGCGCGUAGGCGGGCCAUCAAGUCAGGGGUGAAAGCCCCCAGCUCAACUGGGGAAGUGCCUCUGAUACUGGUGGUCUCGAGGGAGGUAGGGGCGUGCGGAACUUCCGGUGGAGCGGUGAAAUGCGUAGAUAUCGGAAGGAACACCGGUGGCGAAAGCGGCGCGCUGGACCUCUUCUGACGCUGAGGCGCGAAAGCCAGGGGAGCGAACGGG